UAUGGAGUGAGAUACAGAACAGUGUCUAUUAGUAAAUUAAUACAUUAUUUAAUAAUUGUUCAGAUCUGGAACUGGGAUGUGAGUGGCCAAUUCCAUCACAGAAAUGCCAACUCUUGGUUUGAUCAAGUUUUUGGAAAGGUACAAAAUGGUUUCCAGUGUUGUAUGUCAUCUUAACAGCUUUGUACCUGUAAUGACAGCACCUUUGCUUUACUGUGUAAAGGAAGAGAGUGCACUAGGACACAGGGUCUCCCCCUCCUAGGCAGGUCUCUUCUCAGGUAAACAAUUACAGCAAGCAUUUAUACCUUUUGUUACAGACAAUGAAAAGCAACGGCAGCAUUUUGUUUAUACAUAAGUCAUUCUGAUAUCUUGUUUUUCUCACUAAUAUAGACUCUUAGUCUACAUUCCAUAUUGUUUACACAUUAUCUACACAAGGUCGAAACACUUCUCACACUGUUCUUUCCCACUCGCCUCACAGAAUCCUCGCUUCUACAAAUCUCACGUUAUUAGGGUUACAGUUAGCCUGACUCUUGCUAACAAACUGUCAUGCACUGCAAUCCCCUUCCUGUCAGUUCUUUCUCUGCUUCCACACACACAUACUUAAAGCAUACACAUACUAACCCUAUAUACUGCCCUAUACACUAAACCAUCAUUAAAAGAAUAUUAAGCUUAUGCUAUACAUCUGUUGCUGUUUUCUUUUAAAAGUCAAAUCACUGCCGUGGCUGCAGUUCAAUUCCUGCUCAGUCAGCUCUGCCCUGCUCCAGCUUUCUUUUCUAUCUCUGCCGCAGGUCUUCUUUGGCUUCUCUCGCUGGCUUCCCGGCUCUUCCUGCACGCCGCUCUCCUUUUCAGACCUAGCCUCCGGACUUCGAAACUAUUGCUGGCAAGUGGCCUUUAUGGUUAUGCUACAUUGUACCUCUUUCUUUAUGUAUCUUCCUAUUCUUAGGCCUGGUCUACACAAUGAGGUUAGGUCAACUUUAGCCUCAUUAGGUCGAUUUUAUAAUGAAUGCGUCCACACAACCAACCCCCUUCCACUGACCUAAAGGUCUCUGAAAAUUGACUGCUGUACUCCUCCCUGAGGGGAGUGGUGCUAAAAUCGACCUUCCCCUGGGUCGAAUUUGGGGUAGUGCAGAUGCAGCACUGUGCAAUUAGAUGUUCUUGGCCUCCGGGAGCUAUCCCAGAGUGCUCCAAUGUGACCGCUCUGGACAGCACUUUCCACUCCGAUGCACUAGCCAGAUACACAGGAAAAGCCCUGGGAAUUUUUGAUUUUUCCUUAUUCAGGAUGGAGAUCAAAGCUACAAAGCAGAGACUGGAGAAUUAUCUCUAGUGACACCAUGUUUCCUCCACCCCCCCUCCCCAAUCCGCCCCCAUGGGCAGGACAACAGGGAGCGGCCCCCCUGGGCUGGGGAGGGACCAUUCUACCCUGAGACGGGGGGGAUGGCAAAUUAUCCCGACUCAGGAAUUUUAAUCCCCAGAUUAAAAGGAGCCAAUAAUGUAACCAGAGACAUUUUUCUUUAAAAAUUCCUGACAGCAAAAUAAUAACAAAAAUAAAACGGGCUCCCCCGUUACUUUAUCGCCCCUGCUCCUGCCACCAGCGAGAUGGCCCUAAACUCCCAACUCAUAGGACGAACCAUUUCCCUUUUGGGCAGAGGAACUCAUGCUGCAUAAAAUGCCCAAGGUUCAGAAUUGACCUGUUUAAUGUUGUUCCUCUAUAUUUUUAA